UUAAGCGACUAAGCGUACACGGUGGAUGCCCUGGCAGUCAGAGGCGAUGAAGGACGUGCUAAUCUGCGAUAAGCGUCGGUAAGGUGAUAUGAACCGUUAUAACCGGCGAUUUCCGAAUGGGGAAACCCAGUGUGUUUCGACACACUAUCAUUAACUGAAUCCAUAGGUUAAUGAGGCGAACCGGGGGAACUGAAACAUCUAAGUACCCCGAGGAAAAGAAAUCAACCGAGAUUCCCCCAGUAGCGGCGAGCGAACGGGGAGCAGCCCAGAGCCUGAAUCAGUGUGUGUGUUAGUGGAAGCGUCUGGAAAGGCGCGCGAUACAGGGUGACAGCCCCGUACACAAAAAUGCACAUGCUGUGAGCUCGAUGAGUAGGGCGGGACACGUGGUAUCCUGUCUGAAUAUGGGGGGACCAUCCUCCAAGGCUAAAUACUCCUGACUGACCGAUAGUGAACCAGUACCGUGAGGGAAAGGCGAAAAGAACCCCGGCGAGGGGAGUGAAAAAGAACCUGAAACCGUGUACGUACAAGCAGUGGGAGCACGCUUAGGCGUGUGACUGCGUACCUUUUGUAUAAUGGGUCAGCGACUUAUAUUCUGUAGCAAGGUUAACCGAAUAGGGGAGCCGAAGGGAAACCGAGUCUUAACUGGGCGUUAAGUUGCAGGGUAUAGACCCGAAACCCGGUGAUCUAGCCAUGGGCAGGUUGAAGGUUGGGUAACACUAACUGGAGGACCGAACCGACUAAUGUUGAAAAAUUAGCGGAUGACUUGUGGCUGGGGGUGAAAGGCCAAUCAAACCGGGAGAUAGCUGGUUCUCCCCGAAAGCUAUUUAGGUAGCGCCUCGUGAAUUCAUCUCCGGGGGUAGAGCACUGUUUCGGCAAGGGGGUCAUCCCGACUUACCAACCCGAUGCAAACUGCGAAUACCGGAGAAUGUUAUCACGGGAGACACACGGCGGGUGCUAACGUCCGUCGUGAAGAGGGAAACAACCCAGACCGCCAGCUAAGGUCCCAAAGUCAUGGUUAAGUGGGAAACGAUGUGGGAAGGCCCAGACAGCCAGGAUGUUGGCUUAGAAGCAGCCAUCAUUUAAAGAAAGCGUAAUAGCUCACUGGUCGAGUCGGCCUGCGCGGAAGAUGUAACGGGGCUAAACCAUGCACCGAAGCUGCGGCAGCGACGCUUAUGCGUUGUUGGGUAGGGGAGCGUUCUGUAAGCCUGCGAAGGUGUGCUGUGAGGCAUGCUGGAGGUAUCAGAAGUGCGAAUGCUGACAUAAGUAACGAUAAAGCGGGUGAAAAGCCCGCUCGCCGGAAGACCAAGGGUUCCUGUCCAACGUUAAUCGGGGCAGGGUGAGUCGACCCCUAAGGCGAGGCCGAAAGGCGUAGUCGAUGGGAAACAGGUUAAUAUUCCUGUACUUGGUGUUACUGCGAAGGGGGGACGGAGAAGGCUAUGUUGGCCGGGCGACGGUUGUCCCGGUUUAAGCGUGUAGGCUGGUUUUCCAGGCAAAUCCGGAAAAUCAAGGCUGAGGCGUGAUGACGAGGCACUACGGUGCUGAAGCAACAAAUGCCCUGCUUCCAGGAAAAGCCUCUAAGCAUCAGGUAACAUCAAAUCGUACCCCAAACCGACACAGGUGGUCAGGUAGAGAAUACCAAGGCGCUUGAGAGAACUCGGGUGAAGGAACUAGGCAAAAUGGUGCCGUAACUUCGGGAGAAGGCACGCUGAUAUGUAGGUGAGGUCCCUCGCGGAUGGAGCUGAAAUCAGUCGAAGAUACCAGCUGGCUGCAACUGUUUAUUAAAAACACAGCACUGUGCAAACACGAAAGUGGACGUAUACGGUGUGACGCCUGCCCGGUGCCGGAAGGUUAAUUGAUGGGGUUAGCGCAAGCGAAGCUCUUGAUCGAAGCCCCGGUAAACGGCGGCCGUAACUAUAACGGUCCUAAGGUAGCGAAAUUCCUUGUCGGGUAAGUUCCGACCUGCACGAAUGGCGUAAUGAUGGCCAGGCUGUCUCCACCCGAGACUCAGUGAAAUUGAACUCGCUGUGAAGAUGCAGUGUACCCGCGGCAAGACGGAAAGACCCCGUGAACCUUUACUAUAGCUUGACACUGAACAUUGAGCCUUGAUGUGUAGGAUAGGUGGGAGGCUUAGAAGUGUGGACGCCAGUCUGCAUGGAGCCGACCUUGAAAUACCACCCUUUAAUGUUUGAUGUUCUAACGUUGACCCGUAAUCCGGGUUGCGGACAGUGUCUGGUGGGUAGUUUGACUGGGGCGGUCUCCUCCUAAAGAGUAACGGAGGAGCACGAAGGUUGGCUAAUCCUGGUCGGACAUCAGGAGGUUAGUGCAAUGGCAUAAGCCAGCUUGACUGCGAGCGUGACGGCGCGAGCAGGUGCGAAAGCAGGUCAUAGUGAUCCGGUGGUUCUGAAUGGAAGGGCCAUCGCUCAACGGAUAAAAGGUACUCCGGGGAUAACAGGCUGAUACCGCCCAAGAGUUCAUAUCGACGGCGGUGUUUGGCACCUCGAUGUCGGCUCAUCACAUCCUGGGGCUGAAGUAGGUCCCAAGGGUAUGGCUGUUCGCCAUUUAAAGUGGUACGCGAGCUGGGUUUAGAACGUCGUGAGACAGUUCGGUCCCUAUCUGCCGUGGGCGCUGGAGAACUGAGGGGGGCUGCUCCUAGUACGAGAGGACCGGAGUGGACGCAUCACUGGUGUUCGGGUUGUCAUGCCAAUGGCACUGCCCGGUAGCUAAAUGCGGAAGAGAUAAGUGCUGAAAGCAUCUAAGCACGAAACUUGCCCCGAGAUGAGUUCUCCCUGACCCUUUAAGGGUCCUGAAGGAACGUUGAAGACGACGACGUUGAUAGGCCGGGUGUGUAAGCGCAGCGAUGCGUUGAGCUAACCGGUACUAAUGAACCGUGAGGCUUAACCUU
rnacentral:rRNA from 1 species